CAAAUUUAAAAUCUACCUGGUUUCCAGGUCGAGUUGUAAUUUGAAGAUACGUUUUUGACRUUCCGGGUUGAACUAAAUCCUUUGGGAUAAGGUAUCAUGGAGGGUGAGAAUCCCGUAUAUACCAACCRUAGGGAUGUUAUUUAAUACGUUUCUAAGAGUCCAGUUGUUUGGGAAUGCAGCUCYAAAUGGGUGGUAAAUUUCACCUAAUGCUAAAUAUAAGCGAGAGACCGAUAGCGAACAAGUACAGUGAUGGAAAGAUGAAAAGAACUUUGAAAAGAGAGUUAAAUAGUACGUGAAAUUGUUGAAAGGGAAACGAUUGAAGUCAGUCAUGCCAGUGGGAAUCAACUUAGAGGAAACUCUGAGUGCACUUCUUCGCUUGGCAGGUCAACGUCGAUUUUGGAUGUCAUAAAAUGAUUGGGGGAAGGUAGCUCCUUCGGGAGUGUUAUAGCCCUUGGUAGAUGUGAUGUCUGGGAUCGAGGAUUGCAAUGGAUACCCUUUGGGGCUAGCCGCCUGAUCUCUAAUUGGUAUUGGGUUACGGAUAGCAUGCUGACCGUGAUCUAAUUAUUGGUUAAAAGGUUAG
rnacentral:rRNA from 1 species